rnacentral:rRNA from 1 species
GAUGAACGCUAGCUACAGGCUUAACACAUGCAAGUCGAGGGGUAACGAGAGGAAAGCUUGCUUUCCUUGUCGACGACCGGCGCACGGGUGAGUAACGCGUAUCCAACCUGCCCCCAACUAAGGAAUAACCUUACGACAGUAAGACUAAUACCUAAUACUUUCCUCAGAUGACAUCUGACGAGGAAUAAAGAUUUAUCGGUUGUGGAUGGGGAUGCGUCUGAUUAGCUUGUUGGCGGGGUAACGGCACACCAAGGCAACGAUCAGUAGGGGUUAUGAGAGGAAGGUACCCCACAUUGGAACUGAGACACGGUCCAAACUCCUACAGGAGGCAGCAGUGAGGAAUAUUGGUCAAUGGGCGGAAGCCUGAACCAGCCAAGUAGCGUGCAGGAUGACGGCCCUAUGGGUUGUAAACUGCUUUUAUACAGGAAUAAAGUUAGCCACGUGUGGUUAUUUGUAGGUACUGUAUGAAUAAGGACCGGCUAAUUCCGUGCCAGCCGCCGCCGUAA